AGAGCUGAGGGGUAGCCGGGCUAGCAGUUCACGCACAGAUCAGACCCCGGAGUCGAUCCUGAAACGAGAAAGGGCUGUUUCUGGUGAUACCGGUGAGCAGUUAGGGGCAGCUGGGCUCCUCCUGGGGAAGCUGCAGGUGACCACUGGCCUGGCUUCCGCUCCCUCUGUGGUCGCCGUCUGAGGCUUCAGGAAGGUCACGUCUUCUCUGUUGGUGGACCUUUUGCUCUUCCUUGAGUCCGCAGAGAGGGAGCUGAACCUGAUCGGACCCUGAGACAUCUGGGAAAGUGGGAGGCUCAGACCCAGGAAUUGCCAGCACGUCCUGGAGGUGCUCGGUGAUGCUUUGCUGUAAGGAGCAGAGCAGACUCCUGAGGCACGUGUCAAGGUCCCCGUCUUCUCGUGUGUUUGAUAAGCAGUCCCAUUCAAGUGUAUGUUCCUUUUGAAAGUGGCUUAAGCCCAUGACAAAAAUAUCUACCAAACAAGCUAAACCACGUUGAAAGAACAAAUGUGAGGCGCAUCAGGCUGCGUUAAAAGUGCCCUGGAUUUACCGACUCUGUUGGAAAAAUGUUUCUCAACGACGCGAAGUCAUCAGGCAAAAUCCUUAGCUCUCCUUUUGCAAAGUAAACAAUCUCCCCACGUAAAUCACACUCACAGCAUAGGGAUUAUGAAGUAUAAAUAGAAUUUCACGGUGUUUGCAGUGGCUCUGAAAUACCGGUGUACAAAAGUAGGCUGGCACGCAGUGCCCUUCCGUUUAGCAGUUGGAAGUGAGACCAGCAGGGGUGGUAGGUAUUGGAAUCAGGUCUGGACAGCAGAGCUUGUACAGCAGGCGUCUUGUGUUUAGGAUCUGAAACGCAGUGAGCCGAGCCACGCGCCCUGCCCAGGGUGACGCUCACCCUCUGCCGUCACAGGUCUUGUCGCCAGAGAGGGCGCCGCAGCUGCUCACAGUCACCUUCAGGAUGAAGGCGACACUGGCGCGGUUUCACGCGAAGGGCAGGCUGUUGGCUUGGCCCUGGGAAGUGCAGGCCUGGUGUGGCAGCUCCAAUGCCUGGCCAGAAAUGCAACUGCGUUUUGCAUGAAAAGGAUUUUUAUCAAAGCGCAUUCAUGGAACAGUGUUACUCUGAUGGUUGUUUGGCUUCUGAUUUCAGCCUUUUUCAUUCACUUCAAAGACGUUUUUUAAAAAUGUGCCUGGACUUUGUACCCAGAGGCAGACAAGCCGCAGAGACCAGCUCUGCAAGAGGCACCCGCGUGGUGCCAGGCACGUGGAGGUGCUCGGUCCUGUAGCCGUUCCUCUGUGGGAGACGAGGGCAGCUGUGCCGUGGUCUCUAGACUCGGUGCCAGGCUGACCUUCCAUUUCAGACAAGUGUCAGUUUCACCCCUGACGUGUCGUGGGUGGAGGUGACAUCCACGCGCUUGCUGGACUCCACGAGCGCGUCUCUCAGAAGCGUGGGCCCGGCCCCCGCCUUGGUCCAGACGCCCCCCGUUCUUGUUCCCUUCCAUCCUUGCUGGGCGUUCAGCGCCCCUCCUCGCCGUCGCCCGGUCUGGCCUCUGCCCCGGGCCUGCCCUGGCGGGGCUGCUGGCCCAGGCCUUCCUUCCUCGGUACCCGCGUAGCAGUUGGCCCCGUGGGCAGACCCUUCAACUUAGAGGUCCGUCUCGGUUUCCGUGGCAGCGCAGGCCGGUUUCUCCCCUCCUCCGAAGGUCCUUCCUCCUCCGUGCGACGCGGCCGUGUCUGUCCUCAGCUUCCUCCUGGGUCCGCGCGGUGCUCUGGGCGGCCGCACCUACCUCCAGACGGCAGCCGCCAGGCACGUUCCUGCCGCCCGCGCCCAGGCCGGCUUCUCUGGCGGCAAGGGCUCGAGGUCCUCUCCACACCCAGACCCGUGUUCACAUCCACACCCGGCUGACGUGCAGACGCCUCAAGCUCACGCGUUCACGACGGCGCUCACGGCCCCACCGGGCCCACGCGCUCUCCCCUCGGCGUCCUGGGCCCUCGUCUGCCGCCUCUUCCUCUGGCCCAGAGCUCCCUGCGUACAGUUCCAUUAAAAGGCUUGUCUUUGUUCUCGGUCUUA
rnacentral:lncRNA from 1 species